UUGUGGAUGAAAUGUAAUAUAAGGGUGAACACAACAUACAUGUUUUGGAGAACGGUUAGAUCAAUAUAUCCGGUUCGUUAGCUUGGAAAGUGGGAUCACUUCCGCGGUUAGGGGUAAUGCUCGUUUCGUUAUGGAUGUUGAUCAAGCAAGGAAAUCAAGAACCGAACAUAAGUUUUGAAUGCUUCCGCGAUAAUCUAAUCUAGUUCAAACCAUGUUGUUUUGUAAACACUUCUAAACGUUGAAUAUUUUAAUCUAGUUAGUUGACUAUGUUCAAAUGCUAUAAUGAAGUACAUCUUAGUUUAUUAA